rnacentral:rRNA from 1 species
CCUACGGGAGGCAGCAGUGGGGAAUUUUGCGCAAUGGGGGGAACCCUGACGCAGCAACGCCGCGUGAGUGAAGACGCCCUUCGGGGUGUAAAGCUCUGUUGUCCGGGACGAAGGCCUAUCAGGUGAAGAGCGUGGUGGGAUGACGGUACCGGGCGAGGAAGCCCCGGCUAACUCCGUGCCAGCAGCCGCGGUAAGACGGAGGGGGCGAGCGUUGUUCGGAAUGACUGGGCGUAAAGCGCGCGUAGGCGGCGCAUCAAGUGUAGCGUGAAAGCCCUCGGCUUAACCGAGGAAGGGCGGUGCAAACUGAUGAGCUAGAGUGUCGGAGGGGGAGGCGGAAUUCCUGGUGGAGCGGUGAAAUGCGUAGAGAUCAGGAAGAACGUCGGUGGCGAAGGCGGCCUCCUGGACGAACACUGACGCUGAGGAGCGAGAGCGUGGGGAGCGAACGGGAUUAGAUACCCCGGUAGUCCACGCCGUAAACGAUGGGCACUAGGUGUGGGGUCGGAGACCGAGUCCGUGCCGGAGCUAACGCAGUAAGUGCCCCGCCUGGGGAGUACGG